AAAAAAAAAAAAAAAAAAACUUGUCGUCGCCUUCUUCCAAAUCUUUCGUCUGGGGCGAUUCCUCUUACGGCUUCACAUCUCUAUAACUCGCUCUUAAUGGCUCUUCUACGCACCUCCUCUGACGAAGAAACGCUUCCUCAUACUGUAACGGCUCCAGAAUCCUCCUAUAUAUAGAGUUCCUCAAACUCCAGUAGAUAACGCCGCCGCCGCCGUCGCCGUCGCCUACUCCACGUUCGAAUCUCUUCGCCUCGGAAAAACAGCUCAGGCAGUUGUUGGUCGCCUCAUCCGGUUUUGGGAUUCCCGGAACAUCAACAAAAAUGGCGAGUUCAUGGGCAUAACCAUUCUCCUCCUGGAUGAAUUGGACUCGGUGAUUCACGGUUUCAUUCCAGCUAAUCGGGCCAGCCAGUACCGGCCAUCUUAGAAAACGGUUCUAUUGUGAGAUUGGACCGUUUUGAAGUUACACGGGUCGCUCACAUGUACAAGAUCACAGAGCAUCAGUGAUCCGUUUCAUCCCUUCAACGCGUAUUGUUGAGGUCCAAACGGACGCUCCUGUGAUCAAGUUCGACAAGUUCAUGGUGCGGCGUUACGACCACCUUCAAGUGCUUGCGAACACCAACCUAGAGCUUCCUGGUUCCUUGUCGAGCUUGCUGUUGAUGAUGGAAAAGAUAGCGCCACCUUUGUUGUCUUCGAUAAGGAGAUGACCAAACUUACCAAACAGGAAGCUGCUGUUCUUGCCUUGGAUGAGAAUUCAAACGGUGGAGAGGACUAUCUCCCAAGUUGUCUUGAAGGGCUAACGGGGAAGGAGUUUGUGUUUCAGAUCCGUGUCAUGCCUUUCAACUUCACUCCCAACCACCGUACCUUCACUGUCUCCACCAUUACCGAAGACAACACAAUGGCGAACCAUAGCAAGAUUGUCUAAUUUACAUGUCAAUAUCUUUACUGAAAGCACUAUUUUUAAAACAGCACGUACAUGUACUUCAGGAACACUGUGAAAACCUUCUUCCAAACCGUGGAGGUGACUUGGAAUUGGCAGCUUCGUCUUCGGGCCCGUCUGUUUUGGGAGCAAGAUUGGAGAGAAAUGUUUCCUCUUUUAUUGACUUUUCUAUACAUCUCACCGAAUUUUCUUCGCUCUCCUUCUAUGUUUCAACGUUAUUCUUUUA